rnacentral:rRNA from 1 species
GAUGAACGCUGGCGGCGUGCCUAAUACAUGCAAGUCGAGCGAACGGACGAGAAGCUUGCUUCUCUGAUGUUAGCGGCGGACGGGUGAGUAACACGUGGAUAACCUACCUAUAAGACUGGGAUAACUUCGGGAAACCGGAGCUAAUACCGGAUAAUAUUUUGAACCGCAUGGUUCAAAAGUGAAAGACGGUCUUGCUGUCACUUAUAGAUGGAUCCGCGCUGCAUUAGCUAGUUGGUAAGGUAACGGCUUACCAAGGCUACGAUGCAUAGCCGACCUGAGAGGGUGAUAGGCCACACGGGAACUGAGACACGGUCCAGACUACUACGGGAGGCAGCAGUAGGGAAUCUUCCGCAAUGGGCGAAAGCCUGACGGAGCAACGCCGCGUGAGUGAUGAAGGUCUUCGGAGCGUAAAACUCUGUUAUUAGGGAAGAACAUAUGUGUAAGUAACUGUGCACAGCUUGACGGUACCUAAUCAGAAAGCCACGGCUAACUACGUG